rnacentral:rRNA from 1 species
UAGGGAAUUGUUCGCAAUGGGCGAAAGCCUGACGACGCAACGCCGCGUGGAGGAUGAAGAUCUUCGGGUCGUAAACUCCUUUCGACCGAGAUGAAGACUUGCCGACCUAAUACGUCGGCAAGGUGACAGUAGCGGGAGAAGAAGCCCCGGCUAACUCCGUGCCAGCAGCCGCGGUAAUACGGGGGGGGCAAGCGUUGUUCGGAAUUACUGGGCGUAAAGGGCGCGUAGGCGGCCUUCUCAGUCGAACGUGAAAUCCCCGGGCUCAACCCGGGAACUGCGUCCGAUACUGGAAGGCUCGAAUCCGGGAGAGGGAUGUGGAAUUCCAGGUGUAGCGGUGAAAUGCGUAGAUAUCUGGAGGAACACCGGUGGCGAAGGCGACAUCCUGGACCGGUAUUGACGCUGAGGCGCGAAAGCCAGGGGAGCAA